GCUGGGCCCGCAGAGGCCGCUCAGGGGGUGGCCCGGAAGCAGCGGGAGCAGGAUGAGACCCCGGACACCGACGAGGUCAAGGCGGCACUGGAGCUGCAGCUGGAGAGCCAGCGCGAGGCUCAGCACAAACAGCUCGCGCGGCUCCGGGACGAGGUGAACGAGCGGCAGAAAACCAUCGAUGAGCUGCGCGACCAGAAGCAGAAGCUGGAGCUGGAGCUGGAGCGGCUGCGGGCGGAGCACGAGGCCCUGCGGGGGGAGGAGCGAGCCAAGGCCGCGCGGCUGCAGGAGCUCACGUGAGACCCCCGGGACCCCCGGGACCCCCCGGGACCCCCCGACCCUCCCGCCCCCCCCCAUCCUUGGAGUGACCCCCCAUCCUUAGAGCGACCCCCCAACCUUGGAGUGACCCCCCCAUUCUUAGAGUGACCCCCCCAUCCUUGGAGUGACCCCCCAACCUUGGAGUGACCCCCCAUCCUUAGAGUGACCCCCCAACCUUGGAGUGCCCCCCCCAUUCUUAGAGUGAC